rnacentral:rRNA from 1 species
GACGAACGCUGGCGGCGUGCCUAAUACAUGCAAGUCGAACGCUUCUUUCCUCCUGAGUGCUUGCACUCAAUUGGAAAGAGGAGUGGCGGACGGGUGAGUAACACGUGGGUAACCUACCCAUCAGAGGGGGAUAACACUUGGAAACAGGUGCUAAUACCGCAUAACAGUUUAUGCCGCAUGGCAUAAGAGUGAAAGGCGCUUUGGGGUGUCGUUGCUGGAUGGACCCGCGGUGCAUUAGCUAGUUGGUGAGGUAACGGCUCACCAAGGCCACGAUGCAUAGCCGACCUGAGCGGGUGAUCGGCCACACUGGGACUGAGACACGACCCAGACUCCUACGGGAGGCAGCAGUAGGGAAUCUUCGGCAAUGGACGAAAGUCUGACCGAGCAACGCCGCGCGAGUGAAGAAGGUUUUCGGAUCGUAUAACUCUGUUGUUAGAGAAGAACAAGGACGUUAGUAACUGAGCGUCCCCUGACGGUAUCUAACCAGAAAGCCACGGCUAACUACGUG